rnacentral:rRNA from 1 species
CCUACGGGGGGCUGCAGUGGGGAAUAUUGCACAAUGGGCGGAAGCCUGAUGCAGCAACGCCGCGUGCGGGAUGACGGCCUUCGGGUUGUAAACCGCUUUCAGCAGGGACGAAGCUAACGUGACGGUACCUGCAGAAGAAGCACCGGCUAACUACGUGCCAGCAGCCGCGGUGAUACGUAGGGUGCGAGCGUUGUCCGGAUUUAUUGGGCGUAAAGAGCUUGUAGGCGGUUUGUCGCGUCGGGAGUGAAAACUCAGGGCUUAACCCUGAGCCUGCUUCCGAUACGGGCAGACUUGAGGAAGGUAGGGGAGAAUGGAAUUCCUGGUGAAGCGGUGGAAUGCGUAGAUAUCAGGAGGAACACCAGUGGCGAAGGCGGUUCUCUGGACCUUUCCUGACGCUGAGAAGCGAAAGCGUGGGGAGCAAACAGGCUUAGAUACCCCAGUAGUC